rnacentral:rRNA from 1 species
UAUCCUACGGGAGGCAGCAGUGAAGAAUAUUGGUCAAUGGGCUUACGCCUGAACCAGCCAAGUCGCGUGAGGGAAGACUGCCCUAUGGGUUGUAAACCUCUUUUGUCAGGGAGCAACGCCGGCUACGUGUAGCCGGACUGAGAGUACCUGAAGAAAAAGCAUCGGCUAACUCCGUGCCAGCAGCCGCGGUAAUACGGAGGAUGCGAGCGUUAUCCGGAUUUAUUGGGUUUAAAGGGUGCGUAGGCGGAAUGCCAAGUCAGCGGUAAAAUCGCGGGGCUCAACCCCGUCCGGCCGUUGAAACUGGG